rnacentral:rRNA from 1 species
AGUUUGAUCCUGGCUCAGAUUGAACGCUGGCGGCAUGCUUUACACAUGCAAGUCGAGCGGCAGCGCGGGGGCAACCCUGGCGGCGAGCGGCGAACGGGUGAGUAAUGCAUCGGAACGUACCCUGGAGUGGGGGAUAACGCCGCGAAAGCGGCGCUAAUACCGCAUAUGCUCUGAGGAGGAAAGUGGGGGACCGCAAGGCCUCACGCUCUGGGAGCGGCCGAUGUCCGAUUAGCUAGUUGGUGGGGUAAAGGCUUACCAAGGCGACGAUCGGUAGCUGGUCUGAGAGAAUGAUCAGCCACACUGGGACUGAGACACGGCCCAGACUCCUACGGGAGGCAGCAGUGGGGAAUUUUGGACAAUGGGGGCAACCCUGAUCCAGCCAUGCCGCGUGAGUGAAGAAGGCCUUCGGGUUGUAAAGCUCCUUUUGGUCCGGGAAGAAGCGCCUUGCCUAAUACGCGAGGUGGUUGACGGUACCGGCAGAAUAAGCACCGGCUAACUACGUG